rnacentral:rRNA from 1 species
UGGGGAAUAUUGGACAAUGGGCGAAAGCCUGAUCCAGCCAUGCCGCAUGAGUGAAGAAGGCCUUUGGGUUGUAAAGCUCUUUUAGUGAGGAAGAUAAUGACGGUACUCACAGAAGAAGUCCUGGCUAACUCCGGGCCAGCAGCCGCGGUAAUACGGAGAGGGCUAGCGUUAUUCGGAAUUAUUGGGCGUAAAGGGCGCGUAGGCUGGUUAAUAAGUUAAAAGUGAAAUCCCGAGGCUUAACCUUGGAAUUGCUUUUAAAACUAUUAAUCUAGAGAUUGAAAGAGGAUAGAGGAAUUCCUGAUGUAGAGGUAAAAUUCGUAAAUAUUAGGAGGAACACCGGUGGCGAAGGCGUCUAUCUGGUUCAAAUCUGACGCUGAAGCGCGAAGGCGUGGGGAGCAAACA